rnacentral:rRNA from 1 species
UACGUAGGUGGCAAGCGUUGUCCGGAUUUACUGGGCGUAAAGGGCGCGUAGGCGGGCCUCCAAGUCCGGGGUGAAAUCCUCCAGCCUAACUGGAGAAGAGCCUCGGAGACUGGGGGCCUCGAGGAGGGUAGGGGCAAGCGGAACUAUGGGUGGAGCGGUGAAAUGCAUUGAUAUCCAUAGGAACUCCGGUGGCGAAGGCGGCUUGCUGGACCCUUUCUGACGCUGAGGCGCGAAAGCCAGGGGAGCAUACGGG